rnacentral:rRNA from 1 species
AACAAAUAGGCCAAGCUAAGAUUCUCACAGUAUAAGGGGGUUAGAGAAACAUAUAUUAAUAGAAAAUUUCCAUUUUUUUUAGAAAGUCAAAUUUGAAAAAAAAAUCACCCUAUAUUUUCUUUCCCUUGACGCCCCGAAAUUUUAAUUAAAAACCGGGAUUAGAUACCCCGCUAUUUAAAAGUAUAAAUUCUAAUUAACUUAACAAUUUACUUGAGUACUAUGAGCACCUUUAGACUCCCUUUAUUUUUCCCUCUUCCUCGCAUCUUUUAAAGUAUAUAAUACGCUUAAAACUUAAAAAACUUGGCGGUGCCCCAAAUCCUUCCGGGGGAACCUGUCCUAUAAUCGAUAAUCCACGAUUCAACUUACCCUAACUUGAAUACAAAAUUUUUGCCAUAUAAUUUUACUAAUCAGCCUGUAUACCGUCGUCGCCAGUUUACCUCUCAAAAGAAGCUAAGUCGACCAAAAAAGCACAAACCAUAGCUUAUUUUAUAAUAAAUUUAUAUCCUCCGCUCUACCAUAAGCCGGAGUAAAAUAAUAAGCUAUGAUUUGUGGUUUCUCACGUCAGAUCAAGGUACAGCCCAUGUUAGGGGUAGAGAUGGGUUACAAUAAUCAAUUUAUUACACGAAUUUUAUGUUGUAAACACAUAAUUGAAGGCGGACUCGGAAGUAAUUGUACAUCAAAAGAAUAGAAAGCCCCAAGAAGCGG